UGGGGAAUAUUGGACAAUGGGCGAAAGCCUGAUCCAGCAAUGCCGCGUGUGUGAAGAAGGCCUGAGGGUUGUAAAGCACUUUCAAUAGGGACGAAAAGCUCAGGGUUAAUACCCCUGAGUCUUGACAUUAUCUAUACAAGAAGCACCGGCUAACUCCGUGCCAGCAGCCGCGGUAAUACGGAGGGUGCAAGCGUUAAUCGGAAUUACUGGGCGUAAAGCGCUCGCAGGCGGUUUGUUAAGUCGGAUGUGAAAGCCCCGGGCUCAACCUGGGAAUUGCAUUCGAUACUGGCAAACUAGAGUAUGGUAGAGGCAAGUGGAAUUCCGGGUGUAGCGGUGAAAUGCGUAGAUAUCCGGAGGAACAUCAGUGGCGAAGGCGACUUGCUGGACCAAUACUGACGCUCAGGAGCGAAAGCGUGGGGAGCAAACGGGAUUAGAUACCCGCGUAGUCC
rnacentral:rRNA from 1 species